rnacentral:rRNA from 1 species
AUGGCCAAAUGCUACUCCGACUGGCCUCCCCUCCCCCCUCUCCAUCCGUCGAGAAGAUCGUCGCCCAACACCUCCCUCUGCACGAUCAAGCGGCAGCUUGCGUCCUUCGUCCUGCACUGCUCCCGCUCCUGCGCCUCCCCCGUUCUUGAGCCCAAGAACUUGCCCGGCGAGCUCCAUGUUUUUUCUGCUCCGGCGCCGGCCAAGGCGGCGCCGGUGUCUACGCUUCCCGACGCUGCGAAGCUCGGCAUCUCCAACAAGUUCAUCCGGGGCCUCUGCAGCGACCGGCAGACCGAGCCGCUCGCCUUCGAGUGCUACCGGAGGGCUCUGCAGCAGCCCGAGUUCCGGCCGGACAAGAAGACGAUGAAUGCGCUCACCGUCCAGCUGCUCCGGUCCAAGCAGUGGAGCUCGCUGGAGCACCUGGUCCAAGAUUUCAUGGCCUAUGGUGUGCUCCCGGAGAGACGGACGUGCGCGCGGCUCGUCGCGACCUGCGUCAAGGCGAGGAAGUUCGGCCUCGCCGACGUGGUGCUCGGGGUCCUCGAAGGGAAGAAGGGCCCGGCCGCCGCCGUGUGCUUCAGCUCCGCGCUGCAGGCGUACAACAAGCUGCACAUGUACCGGAGCACGGUGCUGCUGUACGAGCGGAUGAAGGCGGCCUGCCUGUCGGUGAACGCCGACGCCUACCGCGCCGUGAUGGCGGCGUUCGGGGCGCUGGGCGAGCCGGACGCGGUGGCCUCGCUGUUCAAGCAGUACAGGUCUCGGAAAUGGUACCCCUCCGAGACCUGCCUCGAGACGUACACCAUCGCCUGCGACGCGCUGGGGCGGGCAGGCAGAGCCCUGGACGCGCUCAAGUGCCUGCGGGAGAUGGAGGCGGACGGCAUCUCGCCGGACGCCGCGAUCUACUCCACGGUCAUCGGCUCUCUGGCGGACGCCCGGGAGACGGCGUCGUCGGAGGACGUGUACCACGAGGCAUGGAAGAAGGGGAUGCUGCGAGAUCCAGACAUGUUCCUGAAGGUGAUCAUCAUGCAAGUCGAGACCGGGCUACUGGAGGACACGCUCGGCGUGGCCAAGGACAUGAGGGAGAUCGGCCUGAGGGUCACCGACUGCGUCCUCUCCACGGUCGUCAACGGCUUCGUGAAGAGGAGAGGCCUGAAGCCAGCCAUCAGAGCGUAUGACAAGCUGGUGGCCAUGGGAUGCGAGCCCGGGCAGGUCACCUACGCGUCGGCGAUCAACGUGUACUGCCGGCUGGGGCGGAGCGACAGGGCGGAGUCCGUCUUCUCGGAGAUGAUCGACCGGGGCUUCGACAAGUGCGUGGUGGCGUACGGCAACAUGAUCUCCAUGUACGGGCAGAUCAGGAGGGCGUCGGACGCCACCAGGCUGCUGGCGCUGAUGAAGCAGAAGGGGUGCGAGCCCAACGUGUGGGUGUACAACUCGCUCCUGGACAUGCGCGGCAAGCUCGGGGACUCGAGGCAGGCCGAGAAGAUCUGGAAGGAGAUGAUGCGGCGCAAGGUGCAGCCCGACCGGGUGAGCUACACGGCCAUCGUCGGCGCGUUCAACCGGUCGGGGGAGCUGGACCGGUGCAUGGACUACUACCAGGAGUUCAGGGAGACGGGAGGGACGGUGGACAAGACCCUGGCCGGCCUCAUGGUGGGGGUGUUCUGCAAGACCAGCCGGUUCAACGACCUCAUCCAGCUGCUGAGGGACAUGAAGCUGCAGGGCACCAAGCUGGACAGGCGGCUGUACAUGAUCGUCCUCAACAGCCUCCGAGAGGCCGGGCUGGAGGUUCAUGUCAGGUGGCUCCAGGAUUACUUCAAUUCCGUGGAGGAGAAAACCUGA